rnacentral:lncRNA from 1 species
ACCAUAUGUUCUCCAACAGUCAUAAAAUCAUUGAACCCAUUUCCAUCUGAAUAUAUAUCAGAAAUAUAAUAACCAGAUGAAGUGUUGUCCAAAUGGUUUUCUGAUUGAUGUUGAUAAAUUUUAGAAAAUUUUUUUUUUUUGUUUUGUUUAUUUGUUAUAAUAUAAUCUUGUUCUAUAUCACGUAGGUUAUCCAUUUUUUUUUUUACACCAUUAGCAUAGUAGUUAGCAUGACUAUUGGCAUGGUGGUUACCACCAUGAUCAGUGUCAGUACUAUCAUUAAAAUUUUUUUUUUUUUUUUUUUCUUUUUUUUUUUUUUUUUUUUUUUUUUUUUUUUUUUUUUUUUACCUGUAGCGUCUACACUGUCUUUAUUAAUAUCGGUCAUAACUGCUUUGUCUGCAUCACUUAUUGUUUCAGUUACUUCCCCUUUUUUUUUCAGUUGAAUCCUGUCGCUAGUAUUACUGUACUGACUACUACUUAUGCCACUACUACCACCACUUAUUCCACUACUACCACCACUUAUUCCACUACUACUACUACUUAUGCCAUUACUACUACUACUACUACUACUUAUGCCAUUACUACCACUACUAUCAUUACUUAUGCCAAUAUUACCACUACAAGAAAGAUUCUCAUAUUGAACGCUUCCACUCAUAGGCUUAUCCUGCUUCAUAGUAUCCCCCCCCUGAAUCAAACUGAACGAAUCAGAUACUUUUUUUUUUUUUUUUUUUUUUUUAGUGUUUUCGAGAAUAUCAACUAAUAAAUAUGUUUUCAUUUCUCCUUUACCUUUUACAAAAACACUUCUUUCUUUCCAUACUAAUGCAUCAUCAUCUUUUAGGUACAUAUAUGUGUCACCUGAUACUUGUAUAUGGUCUGUUAACGAUGUAGAUUUCAUUCUAGAUGCAGUGUUAAUGGUAUCACCAAACAAAGAAUAUUGUGGUUUUACUAAUCCUAUAACUCCACUAAUAGUUUUUCCUGUAUGUAUACCUAUUUUUAAACUUAUAUAUUUUUUUACAUAUUUUAUAUUUUUACUACUACUUUUAUUAUAGUUUUCAUUAUUUUCUAUAAUAAAAGUAUUAUUAUUACUAUCUUUAGUAAAAUC